GGUUCCUGGGGAGAGUGGGCUGUUUGGAGGGAUCUACCCAGAGGCCACAAAGCAACACCAACGUGGAGACAUCUGAGUGAGUGGCUACAAGAAAUCGAAAAAGAAGGGGCAGAAACGGUCUGCACCACAGGUCAGCAAACUUUUUCUGUAAAGGAGCAGAUAGUCAAUAUUUUAGCCUCCAGAACCCUCAUAGCCUCUGUCAAACUACUCAGCUCUAAUGUGUAACUGGCCGUAGACCAUACAUACACACAUGGGCACGGCUGUGUGCGAAUAAAGCUUUAUUUACAAGAGCAGGGCAGAGGGCCGGAUCUGUCCUGAGGGCUGCGCUGUGCUGAUCCCGGGUGUACACUGCCCUGAAGUCACAGACAAAGAGACAAUGUCCAACCUCUGUUUUUCAGCUUUCCAUUGAAAAUUAGAGUAUAUAUCCUUGGAGGGACCUUGAGGCUUUACAAAUGGUUGCACUGAUGGGGUUUUAAACUUGAAGAAAUGCCUGAGACAAUUUCAGAGGCCACAUCGCCCAGUGUCUGUGUUCAGAACAGCACAGGAUGGAGAGAGGUGAGAAAGUGCAGACAGCAGAGGCUUAAAAUAAGCUUGUCAAGAGCGAGCGACCCUUUGUGUCUUCCAGCCAUCUCCAACUCAUUCUUGGGACGCUCAACUCACCUGCUCGCCCAGAGGAAGCUGGUUUGAAGAAUGAAAAAUAAACAGUGGGCAGGGGAAGGCUGCGUCCGUCUGGAGGGGGACAGGCCUGGAGGCUGGCACACAGGCUGGGGGCACCCGGAGAAAUCCUCGAUAUUUCGAUUGUGCCUUCAGCCUUUUAUAAAAAUGAGCUGCACAGAUGUUUCUCGGUGGAGGGGUCAGCUGAAAGGUUCUGAUCAGCUGUGUCUGCCGUACAGAGAUGCAGCGCUCAGCGGUGUCUCCAACCUUCCCUCAGGCAACAAACUAGGGCAGAAGCCAGCCGGCUUGCUCUGAAUACCUCAGUCCCGCCGAUCUCCGGAUCACCAGCUGGUUUUGAUUGUGGCUGGAUCUAAGGUAAGGAUUGAAUGUGUGUUUAAGGGUGGGGAUGGCAAACAUACUAGCACAGUGGUUCUAAAACUGCAGUGUGGGUCAGAGGCCCCUGGAGGGUUUGUUAAAUCACAGACGGCCCGCACCCCAGGGUCCCUGGUCAGUGGGGUGAGGGCUCUGAGCGUGUGCAUUUCUAAAAGCUACAGUGGGCUGGCGGGAGGGAUGCGACCACACUUUGAGGACACAGCGUAACGGAGCGGGGCAAAGGGGAGGGAAGGGGGAGACCA